rnacentral:rRNA from 1 species
AUACAGAGGGGGCAAGCGUUGUUCGGAAUUACUGGGCGUAAAGGGCGCGUAGGCGGCCUUCUAAGUCGAACGUGAAAUCCCCGGGCUCAACCCGGGAACUGCGUCCGAUACUGGAAGGCUUGAAUCCGGGAGAGGGAUGCGGAAUUCCAGGUGUAGCGGUGAAAUGCGUAGAUAUCUGGAGGAACACCGGUGGCGAAGGCGGCAUCCUGGACCGGAAUUGACGCUGAGGCGCGAAAGCCAGGGGAGCAAACGGGAUUAGAUACCCUGGGAGUCCACGCUGUAAACGAUUUGCGCUGGAUGUUGGGGCUCAUAGAGCUUCAGUGUCGUAGACAACGCGGUAAGCGCACCGCCUGGGGAGUACGGCCGCAAGGCUGAAACUCAAAUGAAUUGGCGGGG